AUGUAAAUGUAAGAAGACUCAUAUCACACAGGAUUUAUCUUAUGUUGACUUAGACAUCUGUGGAAUGCUCAUUAAAAGAGUUAUUAUACUUAGCCACUGGUACGUAGCUUAUAAUAUAAGGACUAACGCAGUUAACUGCCGCGAUAAUACUUGAUUAAACGAUCCCGAAAGGAUCGAGUAAUACGACUACGGUUGAAGCCAGGCUAUUAAGCGAUAUUAUUCAGUUUCGGCUGAUAAUUCGUGAUUGACCGAUUUAAGGCCUUGCGCAUGGGUAGAGCCUUUUGAAUAUAAUAAAGUUCAAACGGGUUUUGCCUGAAAAUUGGCCCAGAGGAGAAGUGAUUCUUACCUAUCAGCUUAGUCGUUUCAGUAAGGGUCAAACUUGGCAGUCACGGGUACGGGGAAUUAGUGUUCAAAUCCGGAGAGGGAGCCUGAGAAACGGCUGCCACAUCUAAGGACGGCAGCAGGCGCGAAAAUUAUCCAAUGCUAAUACAGCGAGAUAGUGACGAGAAAUAACAACCUUCCUUUCGGAAGGGUACUUGUAAAAGAGUUCGUAAUGGGGAUGGAUUAAAUUCUAUCAGAGUCACAAUUGGAGGACAUGUCUGGUGCCAGCACCCGCGGUAAUUCCAGCUCCAAUAGUGUAUUUUAAAGUUGUUGCAGUUAAAACGCUCGUCGUCUAUUUAAGGGUGCUUGCAGAAGUUCGAUAACUCCAACGCUCAAUAUCCUUGUUGAAUUUUUGGACAGGGGAAUUGGGUGUCUUUGACUUUGUUGGGGUAUCUUCCAGCUCCAAGUUUUCUGGCUCUUUAUCGGGUCCGUUAAUGCGGAGUGAAUUUUUAGCAAGCGCCUUGAAACCAAUAAAUCAACUGUGAGGAAAAUCGGCGUGCUUAAGGCAGGCAAUGUUAUGAUUGCCCGAACGUUAUAACAUGGAUUUGAAAAUAAGCCAUCAGAAAUGGUGGUGUAACAUGGAGCCGGGCGUUACUGGUAUUAAAUAAGCCAUCAGAAAUGGUGGUGUAAAUGUAACAUUGGGAAGCCGGGAGAGGGUUCAGGCAUUGUGGCGUUAGAGGUGAAAUUCAAUAAACGUUGCAAGACUAGCAGACGCAAAAGCGGUUAGACCCAUCACAUUUCCUUCAAUCAGGAACGAAAGUUGAGGGAUCGAAGAUGAUUAGAUACCGUCGUAGUCCCAGCCGUAAACUAUACUGACAAGAGAUUGGCACGACACUUUUUUACCAGAUCCCCUCAGAAUCUAAGGGAAACCGAAAGUUUUUGAGUUCUGGGGGGAGUAUGGUCGCAAGGCUGAAACUUAAAAGAAUUGACGGAAGAGCACCACCAGGAGUGGAAUUUGCGGCUUAAUUCGACUCAACACGGGAAAACUCACUAGGUCCGGACAUUAAGAGGAGUGACAGAUUAAAGUUCUUUCAUGAUUUUCUGUAUGGUGGUGCAUGGCCGUUCUUAGUUCGUGGAGUGAUUUGUCAGGUUAAUUCCGAUAACGAACGAGACCUUAAUCUACUAACUAGGCUGUCAGUUUAUUUAAAUUGACAUUUUAAACGAGGGGUUCACUCCCGAGUUUAAUCAGACUUCUUGUGCUCAGGGAGAGCAACUAACCAAUAACUGCGUUUCAAAAAAUUAGCGGUAUCGGGAAGUUUAAGGCAAUAACAGGUCUGUGAUGCCCUUAGAUGUUCUAGGCAGCGCGUAUUACAAUGUUAGUACCAACAAGUUUCUUGUAAACCUUCAGUUUAUACCUACUCUAAUCUUUUCAACAACUAAACGUACAGGGAUAGCUGUUUGUAACUAUCAUCUUGAACGAGGAAUUCCUAGUAAGCGCAUAUCAUCAAUAUGGCUUCGUCCC
rnacentral:rRNA from 1 species